UACGAAGGGGGCUAGCGUUGCUCGGAUUUACUGGGCGUAAAGGGCGCGUAGGCGGACAGUUAAGUUGGGGGUGAAAGCCCGGGGCUCAACCUCGGAAUUGCCUUCAAUACUGGCUGUCUUGAGUGUGAGAGAGGUGUGUGGAACUCCGAGUGUAGAGGUGAAAUUCGUAGAUAUUCGGAAGAACACCAGUGGCGAAGGCGACACACUGGCUCACUACUGACGCUGAGCGCGAAAGCGUGGGGAGCAAACAGG
rnacentral:rRNA from 1 species